rnacentral:rRNA from 1 species
CUACGGGCGGCUCCAGUGGGGAAUAUUGCACAAUGGGGGAAACCCUGAUGCAGCGACGCCGCGUGAGUGAAGAAGUAUUUCGGUAUGUAAAGCUCUAUCAGCAGGGAAGAAAAUGACGGUACCUGACUAAGAAGCCCCGGCUAACUACGUGCCAGCAGCCGCGGUAAUACGUAGGGGGCAAGCGUUAUCCGGAUUUACUGGGUGUAAAGGGAGCGUAGACGGUGAGACAAGUCUGAAGUGAAAUCCCGGGGCUCAACCCCGGAACUGCUUUGGAAACUGCCUGACUAGAGUGCAGGAGAGGUAAGUGGAAUUCCUAGUGUAGCGGUGAAAUGCGUAGAUAUUAGGAGGAACACCAGUGGCGAAGGCGGCUUACUGGACUGUAACUGACGUUGAGGCUCGAAAGCGUGGGGAGCAAACAGGAUUAGAUACCCCCGUAGUC